UGUGACACAAACACGGUGGUAGCGCGGCACGUGGCCUGCAACGCCAAAACUCAUCCUCUCUGGCCCUUUACGGAAGCUUGCCAGCCCCUGCUCUCCAUUCACGGUUCCCUCCGAGAUGGGCGCCGCACCAUCCUACACCAGCGGUGUCAGACCACCAACCCCCAGAUUCAGACUCCGAGACGAAGUGGUAAACCUGAAAUGUAUUUUGUGAACUUAAAGGGUUAAAUCAGCACUGUCACCUUGUCAUAAAGGCCAUCUCCGUCAGUCACCCCAGGACAGCCCUGUCCACCAUUCUUGGCCAGCUUCCUUCAAGGACUUUAUCACAUCUGAUACCUUCUCUUUGUAAAUAUUUGUCCCCCUCCUCACAUUGUGAGAGCCCUGAGAACAGGAAUCUUCACAGUCUUGUUUGUCCCUAUAUCCCCAGGGCCUAGAACACUGCCUGGCCCAUAGGGGGUGCUCAAGCAACACUGAAUGAAUGAAUGAAUGAAUGAAUGAAAAGCAAUUCAGCAGCAAAAUUUUCCUAUUGGGUGAAGAGAGAUAACUACACAGUGACCACAAGACCCAGACUCUACAGGCAAGACCAAGGGUCCCCACCUGAAAAUGAGGUGAGAAGUUAG
rnacentral:lncRNA from 1 species